rnacentral:rRNA from 1 species
CAUCAGCUUGUUGGUGAGGGUAACGGCCCACCAAGGCGACAACGGGUAGCUGGUCUGAGAGGAUGGUCAGCCACACUGGAACUGAGACACGGUCCAGACACCUACGGGUGGCAGCAGUCGAGAAUCAUUCGCAAUGGGGGAAACCCUGACGAUGCGACGCCGCGUGGAGGAUGAAGGCCUUAGGGUUGUAAACUCCUGUCAAGAGGGAAUAAGCAAGUGAAGGUACCUCUAGAGGAAGGGGCGGCUAAUUCCGUGCCAGCAGCCGCGGUAACACGGAAGCCCCGAGCGUUGUUCGGAUUCAUUGGGCGUAAAGGGUGCGUAGGCGGCGCGGAAAGUCCGGCGUGAAAGGCAGGGGCUCAACCUCUGGACUGCGUUGGAUACUUCCGUGCUUGAGGACUGGAGGGGAGACUGGAAUUCACGGUGUAGCAGUGAAAUGCGUAGAUAUCAUGAGGAAGACCGGUGGCGAAGGCGAGUCUCUGGACAGAUCCUGACGCUGAGGCACGAAGGCUGGGGGAGCGAACAGGAUUAGAUACCCUGGUAGUCCCAGCAGUAAACGAUGUGAGCUUGAUGUGGGGGGAUUCGACCCCUUCCGUGUCGAAGCUAACGCGAUAAGCUCACCGCCUGAGGAGUACGGCCGCAAGGCUAAAACUCAAAGAAAUUGACGGGGACCCGCACAAGGGGUGGAGUAUGUGGCUUAAUUCGAUGCAACGCGAAGAACCUUACCUGGCCUUGACAUGCAUUGUGUCGUCGGUGAAAGCCGGCUAGUCCUGGAAACAGGACGCUUUGCACAGGUGCUGCAUGGCUGUCGUCAGCUCGUGUCGUGAGAUGUUGGGUUAAGUCCCGCAACGAGCGCAACCCUUGUGGUCAGUUACUAACCGGCUUAGCCGGAGGACUCUGGCCAGACUGCCCUGUCAAACGGGGAGGAAGCUGGGGACGACGUCAAGUCAGUAUGGCCCUUAUGGCCAGGGCUGCACACGUACUACAAUGCCCGGUACAAUGUGAACCGAAACCGCGAGGUGGAGGAAAUCGCUCUUGAAAACCGGGCCCAGUUCGGAUUGGAGUCUGCAACUCGACUCCAUGAAGUCGGAAUCGCUAGUAAUGGCGUAUCAGCAACGCCGCCGUGAAUACGUUCC